rnacentral:rRNA from 1 species
UACGUAGGGGGCUAGCGUUGUCCGGAAUCAUUGGGCGUAAAGAGCGUGUAGGCGGCCCGGUAAGUCCGCUGUGAAAGCCGGGGGCUCAACCCUCGAAUGCCGGUGGAUACUGUCGGGCUAGAGUGCGGAAGAGGCGAGUGGAAUUCCUGGUGUAGCGGUGAAAUGCGCAGAUAUCAGGAGGAACACCAAUUGCGAAGGCAGCUCGCUGGGACGUAACUGACGCUGAGACGCGAAAGCGUGGGGAGCAAACAGG